CAGCCGCCGCGGGAACACGAAGAGGGCUAGCGUUGCUCGGAAUGACUGGGCGUAAAGGGCGCGUAGGCGGCGGCCAAAGUCAGGCGUGAAAUUCCCGGGCUCAACCUGGGGGCUGCGUUUGAUACUUGGUUGCUUGAGUGGGGAAGAGGGUCGUGGAAUUCCCAGUGUAGAGGUGAAAUUCGUAGAUAUUGGGAAGAACACCGGUGGCGAAGGCGGCGACCUGGUCCUUUACUGACGCUGAGGCGCGAAAGCGUGGGGAGCAAACAGGAUUAGAUACCCGGGUAGUCCCUGUCUCUUAUAC
rnacentral:rRNA from 1 species